GACAGACAGGCAGAGGGAUGAACAGAUAGACAGAAGACAGACAGACAGACAGUUUUAGCGUAGGGCCUGCGGGCUUGCUUGUUUGUUUUAGUCAUUCUGGCGUAGAUGCAUGUCGGUAGCUUUGCAAAGAUGUAAUGCUAGCGUCAUUAGCAGAAAGUUAACAAGGCUGGGACAUUCUAAGAUCUUUACAGUUGACAGUUCAUUCGCACGUAGUUAAAUUAUGGCGUCGGCCGUUUGGGCCAGACUAGAAUGUAAUAAUGUUGUUCUUUGAAAAUAUAUGUAUUGACAGACAGACAGACAGACAGACAGACAGACAGACUGAUAGACAGACAGAGAGACAGAGGGAUGAACAGACAGAGACAGACAGACAGACAGGUGCACAUACAUGCAUAUGGACAUCAGUGUUCUUCCCAGGGUUCUCAGAGUGGUGGUCAAGUCUCCACUGCAUCAAGGGGCGUGGAUUAUUUCUAUUUCAGAUAUCCGGGAAAAGUACAGCAAACUCCCGGAUAAUCAAGCAUUGUUGCUAAACAGACACGAAAGUGCCAAACAGAACGUAUUGCACUGUUGUAUGGUCCAUGAUCUGAAAGAGUAAACUAAGAAAGCUGCAAUUUCUGUUAGCAGUCCUGGAACUAUGUUGCCCUGUCUCGUGUAGACUAUGGCAAGGCUAGAUGUCUGCCAUCCAUUGGAGCAAGCAAAACACAAGCUAAGAGAGGAAGCACUGCAGUGCAAACCCUCCGUGUGCCAUACCUUUGCAGCUUGAAUGCAAUUAGACAGCAAAUUAGAAGAGCAUGAGAUAAUAACAUGCAGUCACGUAUUUGCCUCAAUCAGUGAUCACGUGUUACAUUGUGGCCUAGCAAGUUCUUUCGGUCAUACGUACAUACCAAACAGCGUUACUAUACCUAGUGUUUCACGCGUUGGUAAAUAUAUAGUGGUGAUCGGGAACAUGUGGAGUAGUGGUUGGUGUUUGUUGAGUGCUGGUCGGGCCCGACCACCAUGGGGCAGAACCCUGGGACAUACAGACAACAAAUGUUUGGAUUAAGAGAGACAGACAGACAGACAGACAGAUGGAUUGAGAGUCAGAUAGACAGACAGAUGCAUUGACAGACAAACAGACAGGCAGAUGGACAGACAGACAGACAGACAGACAGACGGAUGGAUUGAGAGUCAGGUAGACAGACAGACAGAUGGAUUGAGAGUCAGAUAGACAGACAGAUGCAUUGACAGACAAACAGACAGGCAGAUGAAUGGACAGACAGACAAACAGAUGCACAUACAAUUAAACAUGCAUAUGGACAUACAGACAACAAACACUUGGAUUGAGAGUUUUAGACAGACAGAUAGACAAAUGGAUUAACAGAAAGACGGAUACAGAGUGAAAUAACAGUCGGACAUCGGACAUUUUUCGACCAAAUUGAGCAUUUGUUUGAUUGCCUAAAUUUGAAACGGACAUCAUGUCCGACCACAUGAACACACACACACACACACACACACACACACACACACACACACUCACACACACAGGCAAUGUGAUCUUGAAGGCAAAUGCACAGAUAAACAAGACAGCAAGCAGUGAUGACAGUUGUGUAGCAUUAGAGUAUUGAGACUAUAUGUACAUGUAGUCUUACCAAACUCUAACUUUAACUCCUACCCUUACCCUAGUACUUUUGUACAUGUCAAACUACAUACUCUUUAUGAUGGUGCUUUCUUUCUUCAUUUCCAUCUUCUUUUCCUGAAGAGAUUGUAUCUGAAGGAGAAGCAGCAAUGCGUAUCUACGAUGCUGUAUGCAAUGAAGAAAAUGCAGUGACUGUAUUUUUCGUUUUGAUUUUGUCGGUCGUGAUGGUGCUGGAAAGAUAAGCUUGACAAAGUCGAUCACUCUCAUGAAGUUUGACCAGUAUGAGCCGAGCACAAGAGGUGUUAUUCCAAUGAGUCGCAUUAUCAUGAAGAAGCAUGUAACUGGACUGCUCCUGUCACCAGUGAACAUUACAGAGAUCUGUACGACAAGAGCGUCACAGCAGUUAUGGCAGAGGCUUUCAAUAGACCAGAAGAAAAGAUAAGUUUUUGACAUUGGCAAGAGACAAAAAGACGAGCACAAGGAAACGAAAUAGUAAGACAUCAGUGAAGUCCAGUUCAAAGCUGAUGGCAAUAGCAAGUCCCACUGAUGGGCAAAGAGAUGAGCAGUCAGAUGAUAUGUCAAUGAACGGUGGUCACAACCUACUUGAGCAGCUUGUUGCUAUGAGGCUAGAAGAGGCCAGUAAUGAGCGACAACUUUCAGAAUCUUUAGAGUUAAAUGAUGAGAUUGCACAUGAAAGUGGUGGUGUAACUGCUGAAGACAGAGAGACAAGAGAAUCAUCAACAGAGAUGUGUUGUAGUUCAGGUAGUGUAAGAGACAAUGUUGAAGCACAAGUAGAAUCAGUAGCAGGUGUUAGUUCAGAGACUGUAGUAGUAGUCGUUGAGACUGAUAGUUUAGAAAAGAGUGAAGCAAAGAAGAGAAGAAAUGUACAAAGCAGAAGAACAAAGAAGAAGAAAACGAGUAAGAUGAAGACAUCUGAUAAGCGACCAUCACAACAAUCUCGUCAGAUGGUGACAAGCAGAAAGAAGAGAAAGAGAACUUAUCAACUAAGUUCACAAUUCUUCUGAGACGUGCAGUCAUCGACAUCUACAGAUACACAGCAACAUCAGACACAAUCAAACCGAGGCAAGAAAUCUAAAUGGAAAUAGUCACGUGGUCAGUCAUAGGGUUCAGGGUUGGCGGAAGUUUUUUAAUAGUGAGAGCAAGGCUGAUGAGUUAAAGGAUAUACCCGAAGACAUCAAAGGAAGAAUGACCGACUAUCUGAGAAAUAGUGAAUCUCUUCGGAAGGCCAAUCAUGGUCACCAUUUUAGAUUAUGCUGGUCAGCAUGUGUUUUACACAAAUCAGCUUUUCCUUUUUUGAGCUGCUUUCUACUAUGUGGUGUUUGAUGCUUCUCAACCAUUGGCUAGUCAGACGGCAUCUGUAUAUCGUAAAAUUGAUGGCGAAGUAGUGUACAUGGGUGACAUACCUGAUGCUACAAACUACGAACGAGUUGAAGAAUGGAUAUCAGCCAUUCACAUUAUGGAAGCUGAGCCGUCAUAUUUUAUGAUAUUUGAGAAUGAAGGGAUACGAUCACCUGGAAUCUUCCUUGUUGGUACACACGCUUAUGUACUAAGAAAAGAGGAAGGUAUGUUGGAGAAGCAAGACGAGUUCAUGAAGAAGAAACUGCAAGACACAGAGCUGUCAAAGCACAUCAUAUGGGCAUCUAAAGACGGAAUGUGUUUGUAUGUCGAUAACUCGAUGAUGGAUGCAGACAGUGGUGGUGUAGAUCCACAAGUGCAGUUGCUGUGUCGAAAGACAGAAGAGGUGGCACGUCAGGUGGCAAUACACGACAGGCUUCCAAUCACGUCGCUUUGAUUUAAAGAAGAGCUUUACCAGUUGAAAGAAAAUGAGACGACAAGGAAGGUCGUGUCGGUAGAGGAGUUGCAGCAACUUGCCCAAAGAGUUGCCCAUUUGAUUUGCCGGUAUCAAGACUAAGGAAGAGUUUAUGGUAUUGCUGCAGUAUCUGAGCAAUCGUGCUGUAGUUCUUUGUCAUCCAAAAGCUUUGAAGAAUGGAGAGAAAGAAGUCGUUCUAGAGUCCGUUCCCGAAUAGAAGAAUACGUGGGAACUGCGGUUAAUAGAUAAAGAAUUGAAGAGCUGAGAUGGGCGUAGUUAAUUACUUAAAUGGUUCCAGUAUAGACAGGUUUCGCUAUGAACUUACGUUCAAAGGUUCAGUCAAUGCUUCAACUGCACAAGCUUGCUAGCUACAGCUGUUUUACCUAACAAUCCAUAAUUCAAAGUACGUUGCGUCAGCUUUCAAGUAGUGGGCGUUAUAGCGGUGACUUUGAACUUAUCUGUAACCUGGUGUAAAUGAAGGAGCAGGGCAGGGCUAAGCGCGUGUCCUAAGGGAAGUUACAAAUUCUGUCGUAAUAAAGAACCAAUCACAGUAUUCAUUAACUGAUCUGGAACAGCCUCCUUGUGAGCUUUCCAAAGAUGUUGCAAUCAACUCGCUAGGACGUCCGCUUCAGGAGAUACGGGUUUUUCCCCACGUAUUCUCCUAUUCGAGAACGGACUUUUAGAUGUUGACUGGCUGAUGUCUCGACUAUAAAACGUGGUGAUCGUUCACACUGAUGUGCCCUCUAUGUGGAUGAGGGAUAUGGCACGUUGUGCAGAGACAGGUAUCAUAACACAAAAAAUGUCUCUACUACCUGUUACCAGACUUAUCAUGUCGUGGAAUCAUCAAGUCACUUCUGAAGUAUUAUGACUUGAUGUGUCCAUAUUUUGGACUCAAUGCCAAUAGUUUGGAAUUUUCCAGUGAUCAACAGGAUUACGUCAACUUGAAAUUCUAGUCUAUUGAAAAUGAAGAUGAUGCACAGUGUCCAGCACAUUUCGUACCUUGCUUGCUACAGAAAGAGUCUUCACUCUUAUCUACAGAGAUACCCUACAGUCAUAAGACUGCUGCUCUUAUUUUACAUAUUCAUAAGCCUAAGCCUUUGUUCUACCAUCUACUCACUCGGUUGGGAAAACGAUUUUGUCAUUUGCCACAAUUGUUUCAGAAUGUUGGCUACUUCAGGUUUUAUCACCACCUCAAGCUGGAGAUUUUAUUAGACAAGCACAGUUUGCAGAUGAUUGUCUACACUGACCACAAGGAUCCUCUUCCAACAGUAUGUGCUUUUGUCAAAGAUUUUUUUGUCACUUCAGUUGAUGAAGCUAAACAACAAGGCAUGUCAGGAUUAAAGCUGCAGAUAGGUUACAUGUGGAGCAAUCCAGAUCAUAUUGGAGCUGAUUCUGAAUUUGUGUCUCUGAAAGAAUGUUAUCAUUUACCAGAAACCGUGUAUGUUAAAUUACUGGGCAAUGAAGUCAGACUUUCAGAAACCCCGCAUGAUUGGUUUUCUGCAAUCAGUGAGUUUGCUAUUCUUUUGGAGCCUAAUAUGUACUUGGCACCGGAUACAAACUUACUACAUUCUGAGCAACCAAAGAGUUUGGUUCAAUGCCUUCCACUCUGUCCAAUACAGUCAGCCACUCCAAUUUCUCAUCUUCUGAGUGACAUUCAUGUUCAUGAAUGUCUUCAAAAGGUAGCUGAAGUUAUGGAUAAAGAAGAGAACGUAAUAUGUGACGACUGGAGGAGUUUGUGAUGUGACCUACUUGAACGACCUUCAAGUGAAGAAAUGAAGACGAAGAUUCGACAAACUGCAAUACCAGUCCAACUGACUUUGUUCUAAAGAAAUGGGUAUGCAAGUCAACGUCAGCAACUGUUGCUAAACUAAUAGAACGUCUCAGUGCUAUGUAUCGAAAUGAUGUGGCAGAAAUUCUGAUGAAAUAUUUAAAUGAAGACAAUGUGAGAUGACGACAGCCAGUGCUGGCAAUACAGACAGACAGUCAUCAAGAUCAUUCUGUGCAGAGUUGAAGGACAGUCAGAUAAAUCCUGAGCUGUCAACUAAACAACAUAGCAAGGUGGCACCAGAUGAUCUGGUUGCUGUGGCAAGUGCCGGGGGGG